rnacentral:rRNA from 1 species
AGCAGCCGCGGUAAUUCCAGCUCCAAUAGCGUAUAUUAAAGUUGUUGCAGUUAAAAAGCUCGUAGUUGAAUUUCGGGAUUGACACAUCGGUCGUGCCUUAAGGGGUGUGAACUGGUGUAGUCAAUUUCUCACCUUCUGGAGAACCGCGAUGUCCUUAAUUGGGUGCCGCGAGGAACCAGGACCUUUACUUUAAAAAAUUAGAGUGUUUAAAGCAGGCAUUUUUGCUUGAAUACAUUAGCAUGGAAUAAUAAAAUAGGACGGCAUGAUUCUAUUUUGUUGGUUUCUAGGAUCACCGUAAUGAUUAAUAGGGAUAGUUGGGGGCAUUAGUAUUCAAUUGUCAGAGGUGAAAUUCUUGGAUUUAUUGAAGACUAACUACUGCGAAAGCAUUUGCCAAGGAUGUUUUCAUUAAUCAAGAACGAAAGUUAGGGGAUCGAAGACGAUCAGAUACCGUCGUAGUCUUAAACCNUAAACUNUAGCCGACUAGGAAUCAGACGAUGUUAAUUUUUUAAUGACUCGUUUU